AAGUCGUAACAAGGUUUCCGUAGGUGAACCUGCGGAAGGAUCAUUAACACGUAUCCAAACGUAAAAAAACCCGGUCAAUCAUAGCCCGGAAAGUAGUUUUGAUUCAGAGACGUGAGAACAUUGGAACAGUUACAAUCGAGCGGUAGUUUCAUAGGCAUUGUUUCCCCAAGCAGUUAGUGUCUGAAAGUGCAAGGAUAGCGCUUCAACGAUUCCUGGAGACCGUACACUCGGGCAGGAGCUAUGCCAAAGGGUCCCCAUGCCCCCUUAUAACCCCACAGUUUAAAAAACCGAACAACUGUUAGCAAUGGAUAUCUUGGUUCUC
rnacentral:misc_RNA from 1 species